AUUGGCAGUAUAAACGGAGCUUAACAAUACUUUCAAUGUAAGAAGUUUUUUUGCCGAACUGAACGAACAAAUGAAGUGCCGCCGAAUUUCAACGAGCAACAACCAAUAAAAUACAAAUCAUUUACAAAAAGAAGCCCACACGAAAAAGUGGUUUAUAGUUAAAGUGAACAUUAAAAAAAGUGAAGUGAAGAUAUUAAAAAAAUAUUAGUGCAUCAGCUAACAAUUAUAUUAGUUAAUCAGAUUGUAUUUAUUAGAAACUGGCGACUGUUGAUGGUUUAUAUAUCCAUACAAACAUUACUGGGAAAACAUUGAAGAAGAAAAUUAUCUUAAAAUAUUGUCAAGAUGCAGCUUUACUCUGGGCCCUACAUGGGUAUUUUGUGCCUUUCCAAAAAGUUGUGAGGAAAGACAACGAGGGAAAAAAUACGUUCACGAGAUUUACCAUCAAGGACUCCCAGAAUUUGUUUGUUUGGGUCGGUGCUUUAUUUAUUUGAUAAUGAAUGAACUUAACUGCAAUAAAUAAAAAUUGUAAAAUUAAAUUAACUAGAUCUUUUUUAUUAGUUCGAAAUUCUUUAUUUUCAGAAUUUUUAUAAUUUUCAGCAUAGAUUUCGAUAGUGAGGUCCAGGAUGAAGUGACUCAUUGGCGCUGUAAACAGGUUUGUAACUGGAAGUUGGAAACUUUUUUUUAAAAAUAUUAAUAUGAAUGUUUUCUUUUAUACGUUUUAGAUCAAUAUUUGCUGGACUUACACGACUGAAAAAGUUUC